rnacentral:rRNA from 1 species
CCUACGGGAGGCAGCAGUGAGGAAUAUUGGUCAAUGGGCGCGAGCCUGAACCAGCCAAGUAGCGUGAAGGAUGACUGCCCUACGGGUUGUAAACUUCUUUUAUAAAGGAAUAAAGUGCGGCACGUGUGCCUUUUUGUAUGUACUUUAUGCAUAAGGAUCGGCUAACUCCGUGCCAGCAGCCGCGGUAAUACGGAGGAUCCGAGCGUUAUCCGGAUUUAUUGGGUUUAAAGGGAGCGUAGAUGGGUUGUUAAGUCAGUUGUGAAAGUUUGCGGCUCAACCGUAAAAUUGCAAUGGAUACUGGCGGUCUUGAGUACAGGUGAGGUAGGCGGAAUUCGUGGUGUAGCGGUGAAAUGCUUAGAUAGCACGAAGAACUCCGAUUGCGAAGGCAGCUUACUAAACUGCAACUGACAUUGAUGCUCGAAAGUGUGGGUAUCAAACAGGAUUAGAUACCCGAGUAGUC